UAUUAAUCCACAUUCCACAGAAGAAGAAGAGAUGAGAAGCUGCAGAAGCGAGCUAUAUUUUGUGUUCAUGAACUUUGAUCCAGAAUAUGAUCGUCUUCGAUCCGAUAGAACAGAGCAAGGGGCUUAUGAGCUUGAUAUGUACCUAAGCAACAAGCAUGAUGAGCUGCUGGCGAUCAGGCUUGGGCCAGGAACAUAUAAGAAGCGAUUUUCUUUAGUCAUUGUGGAUGGGUUUGCAGUAGAGAUCACUGAUGACUAGGCAAACACGCUUAGAUCUGCAAAGGGAGUGAGGGUUGUAGAGAAGAACCAGGUGCUUUCAUAGUGUAAGAGCUAGAGAAGGUCCUCUGUUUUAGUAAGUGCAUUGGUGAAAUUAAUGUGAUAAUAUGGUUUCUUUUAAGCCUACGCCAUGUCUUAUGACUCUGCUUUACAUGGACGGUAGCAUGUGUUUAGAAUUCUCUCCCUCUCUUAUGCCAUGGGUGUGUUUAUGUACAGACAAGCUCAAUGGGCCUGUGAUCAUUGUUUUUAGAAUACAACAUAAGGGGGUUGGUCCA